rnacentral:rRNA from 1 species
UACGGAGGGUGCGAGCGUUGUUCGGAAUUACUGGGCGUAAAGCGCGUGUAGGCGGCCUUCUAAGUCUGGUGUGAAAGCCCGGGGCUCACCCCCGGAAGUGCAUUGGAUACUGGGAGGCUGGAGUACCGGAGAGGAGGGUGGAAUUCCUGGUGUAGCGGUGAAAUGCGUAGAUAUCUGGAGGAACACCGGUGGCGAAGGCGGCAUCCUGGACCGGCAUUGACGCUGAGGCGCGAAAGCUAGGGGAGCAAACGGG